GAUGAACGCUGGCGGCGUGCCUAAUACAUGCAAGUCGAGCGAACGGACGAGAAGCUUGCUUCUCUGAUGUUAGCGGCGGACGGGUGAGUAACACGUGGAUAACCUACCUAUAAGACUGGGAUAACUUCGGGAAACCGGAGCUAAUACCGGAUAAUAUUUUGAACCGCAUGGUUAAAAAGUGAAAGACGGUCUUGCUGUCACUUAUAGAUGGAUCCGCGCUGCAUUAGCUAGUUGGUAAGGUAACGGCUUACCAAGGAAACGAUGGAUAGCCGACCGGAGAGGGUGAACGGCCACACUGGAACUGAGACACGGUCCAGACUCCUACGGGAGGCAGCAGUAGGGAAUCUUCCGCAAUGGGCGAAAGCCUGACGGAGCAACGCCGCGUGAGUGAUGAAGGUCUUCGGAUCGUAAAACUCUGUUAUUAGGGAAGAACAUAUGUGUAAGUAACUGUGCGCAUCUUGACGGUACCUAAUCAGAAAGCCACGGCUAACUACGUG
rnacentral:rRNA from 1 species